AUGUCCUGCCUUGGAGUAUGGUUGUAUCUAUCUUGGAAGUCAGAUGACAAACCUGCAUGGANNNNNNNNNNNNNNNNNNNNCUGUAUUUAAAAAAAUUACUUUCCAAAAACCCAAAUAACACAUUUGAAAGUAACUAUGUGAUUUACAUCACUAGUUUCUAUGAUUAUGUCAACGUAAUUGAGUAUUUCUGGAAAAAUAAGGAAAAAAUACAAAAUAUAACGGACCCAAUUUAUAUAAUAUCAGGGUGUUAUAUUUCUUUAAUAGAUAGGAAUGAUUUCUACAUUAAAACUGAGCUCAGAAUUAAUGAUAACGAUAUUGAACUUGCAAUUCAGGAAGGAAAACUUAAUGUAUCUGAUAUUGUAAUUAAAGGAAAACAUUUAAAUCAUGUCCCAUAUAGUACAUUAGAUAAUAAGGUAUCGAUGAACCUAGAUUUCUGUCUUGCUCUCACUGAUAUAAUCUUUGGAAAUCAAGAAAAACUUCUUUGUAUAAAUAAUAGUUUUGACAUCACUGCUUUAGUUGCGGUAUUAUUUUCAGAGGUAAUCAGAAAUCCAGGGAUGAUAUUUAUUAACCUAAUUGCAAUGACAAUGGAUUCCUUAAAUACUUGGAAAGACUUCCGCCAGAUUAUGCCACCUUUAGUUGAGGGAACCUGGGAAAAUAAACAGGAGUACUGUUCCAAAUUUAUGAAACGACUAAACCUAUUUUUUUCAAAAACAUUUUCUGAAACAUUUUCUGAAAUUAUUUGAACAUGGAAAUUCUUUGAUUAAUUGAAUUUAUUUUAAAAAGUUGUCCUUCAUGGAAGGGGCGGGUGGUGGAGGGUCCAAAUAAAACAAAAUAAAACAUCCCAAAAUGUUAUAAAAUAUCAACAAAUUCAUCUUCAUUAUCCCCCACGUUGUUCCACCUCCGCUUCUGGGAGGAGCCAGGCGGGGCCACAGAGCGGGUAAGUACAGAUUAUUCUCCAGUGACACCAAUGCCAACGUGAUACUACCUCUGCUACACUGAACACAUAUCCUAGAUCUAGAGGAACUUGAUUUACAAAAAGCAGAAUGUUCUGUAGGUGUUAUGAUUGGGGUGAUGUGUGUUCCAGCUUCCACUGCCAACAAGGAACACAACUGCUUAACAAAUUGCUUUGGUGUCAACCAUACUUUCCUUCAGUCUAAUCCAAAUGAACCCAGUUUACCUGUUGUAAAUAUUUUUUUUAUCAUAACAAACUGUGUCAAAAGUUUCCUGACAUAUAUUUGAGACUUUAACAGUUGGUAUUAAAUCAGUUUUUCUGAUGUUUUUUUGUUUUGUUUGUUCAUCAUGUUUUGACCUCCAGACUCCCCCAUCUCAUCCCACCAACUCUGUCAGUCCACCAGGCCCCACAAUGCAGCCUCCACACCACUGCAGUAACAGCCACAUCUUCCCAUCACAAAGCUUCAGUACUGUCUCAAUGUGUUGUAAGUCCUGUACAGCACUUGGUAUUCAUCACUGUUGAGACAAUGUUACAGCUGAUAACAUGUAAUGACAUUUCCAACCUAAUCAACCCCCUCUGAUUCUUCUCAUUCAGGAAGUACCAUCCAGGAUCCUGUGGCAACGUCAAUGUGAAACAGCAUUGACCCGUGAUCACCACCAACCAGGGCUCCACAGCGGUAUCCUUGGACACCCAGUGAAUCCAGAGAGAGCACACCAGGCAGCAUUGAGCACUUUGAUGAGAUUGGCUGUUCAGCAGGAAGAUUCAUCUGGCUACACAGAAGGGAUGAUGGCUCUGACCAAUAAAAUUAUAUUUUUGAAACUAUAUAACUGAAUAAACUAUGAUUUAACUAAAAACAUAUUUCUGUUUUGGUUAGUAAUUAUUGCCUUAUUUCACUGUAGAGCCUCUAGCCCUGCUGAAUACGCCUUAUUUAUCCAUCCUACAAGUGUUUAGCAGAUGUUAUUGCGGGUGUAGCAAAAUGCUUGUGUUUCUAGCUCCAUCAGUGCAGUAAUAUCUAACAAUACACACAAAUCUAAGUAUAGGAAUGGAAUUAAGAAUAUAUAAAUAAAUGGGCGAACAAUGUCAGAACGGCAUAGACUAAGACACAGUAGUAUAGUAUAGAAUACAGUAUAUACAUAUGAGAUGAGUAAUACAUAGACUAAGACACAGUAGUAUAGUAUAGAAUACAGUAU
rnacentral:lncRNA from 8 species